UGGAAGUAGAACUGGGAUGUUGUGCUUCACCUCCUGCAGUUAAUGAUUAGCUAAGCCACUUAACCAGGAAGGUGAGUGAAAGGGAACCACUUUGGAUCAAAAGGUGAGGUCUGAGAGGUCAUCUGCAGUGACCCAGAUCCAAGAAAUGAAGCAGAGAGGCUGUUCCAAGCCCACUGCACUAUUCUUCUCCCUCCUGGGUUUCCCUUCUCAAUUGGUGGCUCCCUGCUGGAACCUGAACAGACUUCUUCAGCACACCUGUGUCCCCUACACCAGAAAGUCCUUCAAGGUUGGGAGAUCUUC
rnacentral:lncRNA from 1 species